rnacentral:rRNA from 1 species
UACGGAGGGGGCUAGCGUUGUUCGGAAUUACUGGGCGUAAAGCGCACGUAGGCGGCUUUGUAAGUUAGAGGUGAAAGCCCGGGGCUCAACUCCGGAAUUGCCUUUAAGACUGCAUCGCUAGAAUUGUGGAGAGGUAAGUGGAAUUCCGAGUGUAGAGGUGAAAUGCUUAGAUAUGACAUAGAACAUCGAUUGCGAAGGCAGCUCGCUGCACUAUGAUUGACACUGAGGCACGAAAGCGUGGGGAUCAAACAGG